rnacentral:rRNA from 1 species
GACGAACGCUGGCGGCGUGCCUAAUACAUGCAAGUAGAACGCUGAAGGAGGAGCUUGCUUCUCUGGAUGAGUUGCGAACGGGUGAGUAACGCGUAGGUAACCUGCCUGGUAGCGGGGGAUAACUAUUGGAAACGAUAGCUAAUACCGCAUAAUAUUGACUAUUGCAUGAUAGUCAGUUGAAAGGUGCAACUGCACCACUACCAGAUGGACCUGCGUUGUAUUAGCUAGUUGGUGGGGUAACGGCUCACCAAGGCGACGAUACAUAGCCGACCUGAGAGGGGGAUCGGCCACACUGGGAAUGAGACACGGCCCAGACUCCUACGGGAGGCAGCAGUAGGGAAUCUUCGGCAAUGGACGGAAGUCUGACCGAGCAACGCCGCGUGAGUGAAGAAGGGUUUCGGAUCGUAAAGCUCUGUUGUAAGAGAAGAACGAGUGUGAGAGUGGAAAGCUCACACUGUGACGGUAUCUUACCAGAAAGGGACGGCUAACUACGUG